AUACGUAGGUGGCAAGCGUUGUCCGGAAUUACUGGGCGUAAAGGAUGCGUAGGCGGAUUAUGUAAGUCAGAUGUGAAAUACCCGGGCUCAACUUGGGUGCUGCAUUUGAAACUGCAUGUCUAGAGUGCGGGAGAGGAAAGUGGAAUUCCUAGUGUAGCGGUGAAAUGCGUAGAGAUUAGGAAGAACACCAGUGGCGAAGGCGACUACCUGGACCGAUACUGACACUGAGGAGACGAAAG
rnacentral:rRNA from 1 species